GGUGAGGUGGCCGAGUGGUUAAGGCAAUGGACUUCUAAUCCAUUAGGUUGUGCCUACGUGGGUUUGAGUCCCACCCUCCUCA